GUGACUUGUUUAGGUCUAUAGACUUGAGAGGGCUAAGAGGUUGCUGAACUCUUAGAUGAGUUUUGUAAUAUGUUGAGAUUAGUGGAUUAAGUCCUUAUUGAAGGAGAAAUCACCUUGGUCGGGUGGACUGGAUUAACUUUGAAUUUCAAGCGAACCAGAAUAAAUCAUGUGUGUUGUUCUUAUUUAUUCUGUGUGUGUUAUUGAAAAAUAUAUAUUUUAAUUCCUAUAAAAAUAAUUCAAACCCGCCUUUC
rnacentral:lncRNA from 1 species